AGCUGAGGACAGGCACUCCUGCCUUCCACCUAAAUUUUGCAUUUCCCGAGACACCUUGGCCCGCCAUUCCCCCGUCCUGUGCCUGUAAAAACUCCAGGCCCUAGAAGGCACACACGCACAAGUGGCUGGACUUCGUGAGGAAUUCAUAGGGGAAGAAGAUGCAAGUGGCUGGUCAUGGAGAGGACUUUUUGACGAGCGCCGGCAAAAGAGCACAGCGAAGAAAUCCCAGGAUACGGAAAGCCCUCUGUACUUGCAACAAGAGUCUCACUGUGUCAGCCAGGCUGGAGUGGCAUGAUCUUGGCUCACUGCAACCUCCGUCUCCCGGGCUCAAGCAAUUCUCCUGCCUCAGCCUCCAGAGUAGCUGGGAUUACAGAAUGUUUAUGUGCUAUUGCAUAGUCCCUGGCGUGCCAUCUGUUCCUGCAGUCAAGACCAGUAAACUCAGGUAUGAGCCUUGCAAGAAGACAUACAUAUUUUGCUGAUUGCCAAGGGGAUAAUGCAUUGGGUAUAAGAAGAAGGAAAGUAGAGGAACCAAUUAAGAAAUAUUUACUACAAUUAAGAAGAGAUGAUAAUAACUUCGACCAAGGUGGAGGCUAUGAAGAUGGAGCAAUGCGAAUACAUGGAGACAUGUUUUUGAUGUAGACUCAGCAAGAAAUUCUAAUAUAUUAGAUUUUAUGUUUUGGGAGAAAAAGAGACAUCUCCAAGAUUAUGGCUUGAAUAGAUUGGGACUAAUAGUGAAACUUGAGAGUGAUCACAUAUGGAGAUGAAAGAUUGAAAGACCUCUCGCUGAACAUAAUAUAGAAGGUCUAAAAUACUCUCAAGUCCCCUCCAUCUCAAAAUGACAGCAGUAACAGUGAAAACUAAACAUAGCUGUACCAAGGGCCUGUGUAUCUUACUUCGCCCUCCUUGUGAGUUGCCACUUCCUGUUCAUCCUCCUAUCAACGUGAUAUAAACACCAAAAUAGACCAAAGUAAUUAUCUGGGGAAUGUCCAGAGGGUGUUUACCUUCAGAAAAUUAACAGCUUUGAGACUAAAUCGAUGACCCAGCAAGAAGGUUCUCAUCAGUGGCUGACCAGAUGCCAGAAACAUGCCAUUGGAGUGCCCAGCCUUCAGAACAGAAACAUGGCUGUAUAAGUAGAAAACUUUGAAGAAUUUGCUGUAAGUAACAAAUAUGUUUAGAAAGGUUACAGACUACAAUAUCUAAUUUAGAAGUCCUUUGUAUUUCUACAUAUUAGUAAUAAAUAAUUGGAA
rnacentral:lncRNA from 1 species